rnacentral:ncRNA from 1 species
CAAAGGUUUGGUCCCAGCCUUUCUAUUGGCUGCUAGCAAAACUACACAUGCAAGUAUCCGCCCACCAGUGAGGAUGCCCUAUUAAUCACCUUAGAUGAAGAGGAGCAGAUAUCAGGCACACCCUAAGUAGCUCAAGACGUCUUGCUCAACCACACCCCCACGGGAAACAGCAGUGAUAAAAAUUAAGCGAUGAACGAAAGUUUGACUAAGUUAUGCUUGCUAAGGGUUGGUAAAUCUCGUGCCAGCCACCGCGGUCAUACGAUUAACCCCAGUCAAUAAACAUACGGCGUAAAGCGUGUUUAAAAAACUUAAUAAUAAAAUCAAACCUUAGCUACGCUGUAAAAAGCCCCAGCUACUGUAAGCUCUAAUGCGAAAGUAAUUUUAAAAUUUUGAACACACGAUAGCUAGGACCCAAACUGGGAUUAGAUACCCCACUAUACCUAGCCUUAAACCCAAAGAGUCAGCCCAACAAGACUCUUCGCCAGAGUACUACUAGCCAAAGCUUAAAACUCAAAGGACUUGGCGGUGCUUUAUAUCCUCCUAGAGGAGCCUGUUCUAUAAUCGAUACACCCCGAUAAACCUCACCAACUCUUGCCAAUACAGCCUAUAUACCGCCAUCUUCAGCAAACCCUGAAAAGGAGUCAUAGUAAGCCUAAUCACAAUAAGUAAAAACGUUAGGUCAAGGUGUAGCCCAUGAGUUGGAAAGAAAUGGGCUACAUUCUCUAGUAUUUAGAGUACACCACGAAAACUUUUAUGAAAACUAGAAGUCAAAGGUGGAUUUAGCAGUAAGCUAAGAAUAGAGUGCUUAGUUGAACAAGGCCAUGAAGCACGCACACACCGCCCGUCACCCUCCUCAAUUAUACAACAGCAACACAUUAACCUAUUAAACUAGCUCAAAACUACUAGAGGAGAUAAGUCGUAACAAGGUAAGCGUACUGGAAAGUGCGCUUGGAUAAUU